CAGAGUGAAGCUCCUAAACAAAACCUUAGAAACGCCACCAUGUCAGCAUCCCAGGAUAAUUCUAUAGAAUUAUCGAAGGAACGUAUUUGUGGCGUUGGGGUGAUUGCCGAUGGUGCUGCCCGUGUUCUGCCGUACCAGCCGUGCCUGUUCGGCGCUGAAUGCCCGCGUCACGGCUUCCCCUACGCACAGGCGGCCCCCAACGCGAUGCCUCAGCCUCUGAGACUGACGCGAGACCCGCGGCUUCUCCGCAGACUCAACGCCUGAGCUCCAUCCAUAUAUUUUUGCAUUAUACCAGCGCCAACUGCGAGCGCGACAGCCGCCAGUCCCCUGCCCCGUGUUACGACUUAAGUAGCGUUUAUUUAUACAUAAUUAAUGUACAUAGCUUAGUUAGUUAGUAAAUUUCAUGAGAAUAUAAAAUUUAAUUGU